AAAAAAAAAAAAAACAACACAACAAGUCGGCCUCAAAGCUACAGCAAGAAGAUGAAAAAUAUUUAAAGGUUUGAUCCGGCAGGAGAGUUUAAAGCAUUGCGGGGUUUUAUAGCGCCCCUGACGUCACACGGGACACGGGCUCGGGGCUGGGCCAAUGGGCGCCCGCCGCCCGGGCUCAUUAGCAUAGGAGUAUAGCGACAGGGAAACUUUCCGGGCUGUCAGUCAGGGCUCAGCUGACUGUCAGCGCCCGCUUAACCCCCUCCUGGCCGCCGGGGCCGCGCCUGGGCACGGCUCGGCACGGGACGGGGCACCCGCCGGGCCGCUCCUCCCGCGCCGCACCGGGCGAGCGCCCUGCCCCGGGGCGGAGUGCCCGGGAGCUGCCCCUGCCCGCCCGCACCGGCACCCGAGGGCGCGGGGGAGCUCCGGCCGGCCGGGAGGAGGGAGGAAGGGGGAGCGCCGGGCGCGGCGGCCCAAGGGGAACCCGGCAGCGCCCGGGGGGGAGCGGGCGGCGCGGGGGCAGAGCGGGUUCCGCCGUGCCCGGCGCCGGUACCUGCGAGCGGGCGGGCGGCCCUUCCCCCGUGCCGGCCGCGGGCCAUCGCUCCGCUCCCCCGCAGCGCCCCGCGCACUUAUUGAUUAUUUCGGUAGGGGGACGGGGCAUCGAUCCCUCCGUUCCCCUCCCCAGCCCGCCCGGAGGUGCGAGAGCCCCGCAAGUUUGCAAGACCCGCGCCGCUCCCCCCCACACCUCUCCCGGCGCCGCACUCGGCUUGCCUGCCCGGGCUAAUUAAUUUAAUACAUUUAGAACUAAUUGUAUUUACUUUCGUCUCCUCAUCACCCCCCACCUCACCCCCUCCCUCCUGUCCCCCUUUCCCCUCCGGGAGGGGGCUGGGGCCGGGCCGGGGGCCGUGGAGCGGCAGCGGCUGGAGAGGAGCGGAGCGGCUUCGGUUCGAACCUCGACAGCGCCAUCUCUCGUCCACAGUGUCUUAUUUUAUGGUGCAGAACUAAACAGUGUCCGCUGAAUUUAACUACGAAACCAGCCAAAUUGAUUUCAGAAAGACUUCUUCGGAGUAGCAGAGUGAUAAGGCAUAAACUGCUCCUAGGUGCAGUGCUAGAUAAAUCCUUUUAACAGUCUUCAGAUCAGUUAACAGGGUAAGUAAAUCACAUAUCACUGUUAGCAGAUUUAUGGGAGAGAAUUAAUAGAAUCAGACGAGAUAAUCUGGUAGGGAUAAAAUUGCUGAGGAAACAGUCCUGCCUUAUAUUGGAGGGUAUGAAACAACAGUCUGAUUACUGGGAGUCGUUAUGGAUUGGUGAAUUAUGAGCUAAAUCAUCAUAAGAGUAAUUCAGUAUUUAUUAAUUCUUUUCUCUUUAAACAACUCACAGACGCAAAUAAAAGCCUCUCUCUCUUUGAAGACACAUUCUUUAUAUAUUUUUAUUGGAUGUAAUUUACUAUUUGCAUUACCUGUAUUUACUUCAUAAUUGAACAUUUUGCAUUCAAAUUUAUGUAAUGCAUAAUGCUUGAGAAUAUAUUUCUCCCUUAUUAGCAUAAAUAGUCACUUACCUCAUGAAUUACUAACAAAGUUUAUCUGAAAAUAUAAGUAUAUUUUUUAUUAAGUGGAACACAAACAUAUGUACAAUAAAUUCUGAUUUGCCAGUAGUUGUUGCAGAAACACAGAACAACCCCGUAUCUGAGAAGAGGGAAAAGAAGCAGCAGUGAAGAAGCAGAAUCAAUUACUCUGUGUGUAUAUGUGACAAUAAUUUCUUCUGUCAAUGUUUUGUUUAUUUUUAAUAAAGGGUGAGUGACUCAAACGUUUGCUUUAGAAGGAGCAGAUGAAGAAAGGCUCUCCACAGUGAAUUUUGUCUUUCUUCCCCCCGGUAUUUUCCGAUGGACUUUUCUCACUGGUGCUGUGCCACUGCAGCCUUUGCUCUGGUGUUGCUCCUGCUGACCCGCUGCAUGCCAUGAAUGGAUGCUGCUCUACACUCACUUUCUCAUACAUUUCCCUUUUUCACUUAAUCCUAUUUUUAUGCUUGGUUUUACAUCCAAAUAAUCAAUAUAAUUUAGGCCCAUUCUGCAGUACUAACACAGCCUUGCUUAUUCAGAGAAAACCCCAACCCUAUUGACUUCAAAAACAGUGGGAUUGAAUCCUUGAUCCCAUUGAAACCAAUGACAAAACUUGUAUUGAUUUCAGUGGAAGCAGGAUCAGGUCCUUGAUGUUAGCAAUUUGUUCAUGUCAGAGGGCUGAUCCUACAAGAAAUGAAAGCAAGCAUAGAUCUGCUGGCAGGAAAUCAGGUCCGCUCCCCAAAAUUCAGAGGCAAAAUUCCCAGGAAACCUGUGGUGGGUCUCCUUUACGCUCGAGGUUUAUCAUCGUGGUAUGGCGUGGUAGGACGCCUGUGUAAUUUUGUCUGGACGCAUAAAGCUGGUCCUCCUGGGAGCAUUGAAAUGAGCACAUCUAUAAAUGUAGCACAGCAAAAUGAGCUACUUUUGCCACUCUCGCUUUUCGCGAGCCCGGUACAAUCCAUUUCUGUGACGACAGUUUUCUGCCCCAUACGCAUCCAAUACUGCUCUUUUAUUUUAAGGCUGAGAAAAUCUUCCCUUUAAACUCACGCUGAGCAUCAAAUUGGACUCCACUUGCAGCUGAACAUCUUGGCUGUCUCUUCCUUUCCUCCAUCAGCUCCAGUAUAUUUUAUGUAGAAUUCUCUCUGUUAAUGAAACUUGCUUCCCCUCUCUGUUCACUUUCCAGUUUUGUAUUAGUGUUACCGAAUCCGCCAGACUUGCUGCAUUUCAAAACUGUGUAAAAGGGGAGAAAAAAAAUUGUUUUAUUUUCCUAUACAGUCUCCUAUUUGACCAUUCUGCACAGACCCUGAAUAUGCAACCUAUUUUCAUUUGUCUGUACAGUUUCUACUGCUAUAUUAGAAAAAAAGUAGCUUGAAAAGUCAGGCUUAAACACACAUCUUGGUUGCUUUUGUGUUGAAUCCAAGAGGGCUUGUGUUUUAGCUCUAGAAAUUGUGAGGUUUUAGCAGCUGCUUCGAUUUUAUUCCCCUGGAAGUGCCUGACAGUCACUAUGUGGAAGACGCAGCAUCGAUGCUACACCUGAGUGCGUGAGUUUGCUCUGUCUGCCCUGAGUCCUAAUGAAGUGACGGCUUUUUAGCAGUCAGAAUAUUUUCAUUGCUCUCUUAUAACGUUCAUAAAUUGCUAGAAAUACUCCAAAUAACUUUGUAUGAUCCAGAAGCAGUUUCUCUACCUCGAGGGAAGACAGCACAGAGGUGCGACUGAAAAGCUGCAAGUGACUCUUAAGACGUGGCUGAAGGUUGGUGUCACCAGAUUUGCACUGUGCUUGUUUCAUGAUGCAUGUCCUAGUUUACUAAUUGUCAUGAACAGCUUUUGCCCAAAUGUAAAAAUCAAUGAAGACAUUUUUGAUGCUAUAAACCCUAUUUAUUUAAAAGAAAUAAAAACUGAAAUGGCAAUAAAGAUUUUUAUCAAGCUU